UCAUGCAAGUCGAGCGAACGGACGAGAAGCUUGCUUCUCUGAUGUUAGCGGCGGACGGGUGAGUAACACGUGGAUAACCUACCUAUAAGACUGGGAUAACUUCGGGAAACCGGAGCUAAUACCGGAUAAUAUUUUGAACCGCAUGGUUCAAAAGUGAAAGACGGUCUUGCUGUCACUUAUAGAUGGAUCCGCGCUGCAUUAGCUAGUUGGUAAGGUAACGGCUUACCAAGGCAACGAUGCAUAGCCGACCUGAGAGGGUGAUCGGCCACACUGGAACUGAGACACGGUCCAGACUCCUACGGGAGGCAGCAGUAGGGAAUCUUCCGCAAUGGGCGAAAGCCUGACGGAGCAACGCCGCGUGAGUGAUGAAGGUCUUCGGAUCGUAAAACUCUGUUAUUAGGGAAGAACAUAUGUGUAAGUAACUGUGCACAUCUUGACGGUACCUAAUCAGAAAGCCACGGCUAACUACGUGCCAGCAGCCGCGGUAAUACGUAGGUGGCAAGCGUUAUCCGGAAUUAUUGGGCGUAAAGCGCGCGUAGGCGGUUUUUUAAGUCUGAUGUGAAAGCCCACGGCUCAACCGUGGAGGGUCAUUGGAAACUGGAAAACUUGAGUGCAGAAGAGGAAAGUGGAAUUCCAUGUGUAGCGGUGAAAUGCGCAGAGAUAUGGAGGAACACCAGUGGCGAAGGCGACUUUCUGGUCUGUAACUGACGCUGAUGUGCGAAAGCGUGGGGAUCAAACAGGAUUAGAUACCCUGGUAGUCCACGCCGUAAACGAUGAGUGCUAAGUGUUAGGGGGUUUCCGCCCCUUAGUGCUGCAGCUAACGCAUUAAGCACUCCGCCUGGGGAGUACGACCGCAAGGUUGAAACUCAAAGGAAUUGACGGGGACCCGCACAAGCGGUGGAGCAUGUGGUUUAAUUCGAAGCAACGCGAAGAACCUUACCAAAUCUUGACAUCCUUUGACAACUCUAGAGAUAGAGCCUUCCCCUUCGGGGGACAAAGUGACAGGUGGUGCAUGGUUGUCGUCAGCUCGUGUCGUGAGAUGUUGGGUUAAGUCCCGCAACGAGCGCAACCCUUAAGCUUAGUUGCCAUCAUUAAGUUGGGCACUCUAAGUUGACUGCCGGUGACAAACCGGAGGAAGGUGGGGAUGACGUCAAAUCAUCAUGCCCCUUAUGAUUUGGGCUACACACGUGCUACAAUGGACAAUACAAAGGGCAGCGAAACCGCGAGGUCAAGCAAAUCCCAUAAAGUUGUUCUCAGUUCGGAUUGUAGUCUGCAACUCGACUACAUGAAGCUGGAAUCGCUAGUAAUCGUAGAUCAGCAUGCUACGGUGAAUACGUUCCCGGGUCUUGUACACACCGCCCGUCACACCACGAGAGUUUGUAACACCCGAAGCCGGUGGAGUAACCUUUUAGGAGCUAGCCGUCGAA
rnacentral:rRNA from 1 species